rnacentral:tRNA from 1 species
GGUGGCUCAGUGGCAGAGUGCUUGCCUUGCAUGCAUGAGACCCUGGGUUCGAUUCCUCAGCACCA